rnacentral:rRNA from 1 species
UAACGAAUAUUCCCCAAUGCGCGCAAGCGUGAGGGAGCAAUGCCGCGUGUGGGAUGAAGCCCCUCGGGGUGUAAACCACUGUCAGGGGUCACCAAGCUCUGAGGAACCCCAGAGGAAGGACCGGCUAACUUCGUGCCAGCAGCCGCGGUAAUACGAAGGGUCCAAGCGUUAAUCGGAAUCACUGGGCUUAAAGGGUGCGCAGGCGGACGGGUCAGUGUCUUGUGAAAUCCCACUGCUCAACGGUGGAAUGGCUUGGCAUACUGCCCGUCUUGAGCCCGGCAGGGGCCGUCGGAACGGUAGGUGGAGCGGUGAAAUGCGUAGAUAUCUACCGGAACGCCAAAGGUGAAAACAGACGGCUGGGCCGGCGCUGACGCUCAGGCACGAAAGCGUGGGGAGCGAACGGGAUUAGAUACCCCCGUAGUCC